AUUUAAGUUUGUUUGAAUUAUUAUUGUUUUUAUUGUUAUUUAAUUAAUCUUCAAAAAAAAAAAAAUGCGGCAUGCAAGCUGCGUAUUGCCGCAGCUUGCAAACAGAGGACUAGGCAGCCCUUCAGCUGCAAUUUGAGGAAAGUUGUUUAGGGUUGGGAGUUCCAUAUAAAAGGGAUGAAAAAACAAUAGCCGCAAGGGGGUCGAGGAGGAGGAUUGAGAACUAGCAGCGAAAGAAAAAGAAAAGGAAGAAGGAAAGGGUUUGAGCCGUGAGGAUUUGGUGAGAGAAAUGAAGCAAGGGAAAGCAAAAGGGGGCUUCAUCUGAGAGAGUGACGGCGGGUAAAAUCUGAAAAAGAGGGAGAGAAAAACAGAGGACGGCCGAACUGAAAAAUUCUGAAGAGGUUCUUUUGACGGCUAAAACCAGAGAGAGCAGGGAGAGUUUGGUAGCUUCUUGAACGGCAAAAGAAAAACCAGAAGGCUGGGUAGCGGCUAGGUUUUGAGGAGAGUCGAGGAAGCAGGAAAAAGAUAGAAAAAACAGCAAAAAGGAUAGAGGGUGACGGAAACAGAAAAACUGAGGGAGGAAGAAGGAGAGGUCCUGGCGGUUUGAGUUUGAGAAAGAGGGUCAGAGGUCUGAGAGGAAAGUCGAGAUAAUCUAGGCGGUGAAGGAGCUAAGGAAGGUUGCGGGCUUUUGGAGAAACUAGAAAGCCAGAGGCAAAGAGUUCCAGGGCCUGCUGAAGCGAAGCUUCAUCUGUCGGAGGAUACUGCGCAUCAAGGUGAAACCGCAUCUUUCUUUGCAUCUUUACUGGUAAAGUUGCUUCCUUUCUAUGUUUCUUUUGCUUACCUGAGAUGUUUGAUGGCGGAGUUACAAGCUUUCUCUGGUUUUCGAUGACACCAUCACUGGUUUCAUCAGAAGUAGAAACCCGUUACCUUUGUUUCUGUUCUCGUAUGUUCAUUCAGAAACAGAAACUCUCGGUUUGUUGCAAAAGGUCCUUUCUUUGGGUUGUCGAAAUUGCGGCUGGUUUGACAUGCUUGAUUUUUAU
rnacentral:lncRNA from 1 species